rnacentral:rRNA from 1 species
GCCCUUCCUACGGGAGGCAGCAGUGGGGAAUAUUGCGCAAUGGGGGCAAGCCUGAUCGCAGCACAUGCCGCGUGAUGUGAAGAAGGCCUUCGGGUUGUAAAGCUGCUUUCANUNGGGAAGAAAAGUACNCCGUUAAUAGCGGUGNUUNCUNCCGUUCCNG